rnacentral:rRNA from 1 species
GCGGUAGGCCUAACACAUGCAAGUCGAACGGCAGCACAGAGGAGCUUGCUCCUUGGGUGGCGAGUGGCGGACGGGUGAGGAAUACAUCGGAAUCUACUUUUUCGUGGGGGAUAACGUAGGGAAACUUACGCUAAUACCGCAUACGACCUACGGGUGAAAGCAGGGGACCUUCGGGCCUUGCGCGAUUGAAUGAGCCGAUGUCGGAUUAGCUAGUUGGCGGGGUAAAGGCCCACCAAGGCGACGAUCCGUAGCUGGUCUGAGAGGAUGAUCAGCCACACUGGAACUGAGACACGGUCCAGACUCCUACGGGAGGCAGCAGUGGGGAAUAUUGGACAAUGGGCGCAAGCCUGAUCCAGCCAUACCGCGUGGGUGAAGAAGGCCUUCGGGUUGUAAAGCCCUUUUGUUGGGAAAGAAAUCCAGCCGGCUAAUACCUGGUUGGGAUGACGGUACCCAAAGAAUAAGCACCGGCUAACUUCGUGCCAGCAGCCGCGGUAAUACGAAGGGUGCAAGCGUUACUCGGAAUUACUGGGCGUAAAGCGUGCGUAGGUGGUUGUUUAAGUCUGUUGUGAAAGCCCUGGGCUCAACCUGGGAACUGCAGUGGAAACUGGACAACUAGAGUGUGGUAGAGGGUAGCGGAAUUCCCGGUGUAGCAGUGAAAUGCGUAGAGAUCGGGAGGAACAUCCAUGGCGAAGGCAGCUACCNGGACCAACAC